rnacentral:snoRNA from 1 species
GCUAUUCUGUGAUGAGGCCUGGAAUGUGCUGGACACAGCACCCGAAUAACAUUGCUGAAGCAUUUCCUGUUGCCUUCCUUCUGAGAACAGC